rnacentral:rRNA from 1 species
UACGUAGGGGGCAAGCGUUGUCCGGAAUCAUUGGGCGUAAAGAGCGUGUAGGCGGUUUGGUAAGUCGGAUGUGAAAGCCCCGGGCUCAACCCGGGAAGUGCACUCGAUACUGCCAAGCUAGAGUAUCGGAGAGGUUGGUGGAAUUCUCGGUGUAGAGGUGAAAUUCGUAGAUAUCGAGAGGGACACCGGUGGCGAAGGCGGCCAACUGGACGAAUACUGACGCUGAGACUCGAAAGCGUGGGGAGCAAACAGG